GGGUUGUGAGGUUAAGCGACUAAGCGUACACGGUGGAUGCCCUGGCAGUCAGAGGCGAUGAAGGACGUGCUAAUCUGCGAAAAGCGUCGGUAAGGUGAUAUGAACCGUUAUAACCGGCGAUGUCCGAAUGGGGAAACCCAGUGUGAUUCGUCACACUAUCGUUAACUGAAUACAUAGGUUAACGAGGCGAACCGGGGGAACUGAAACAUCUAAGUACCCCGAGGAAAAGAAAUCAACCGAGAUUCCCCCAGUAGCGGCGAGCGAACGGGGAGCAGCCCAGAGUCUGAAUCAGCUUGUGUGUUAGUGGAACGGUCUGGAAAGUCCGACGGUACAGGGUGAUAGUCCCGUACACCAAAAUGCACAGGUUGUGAACUCGAAGAGUAGGGCGGGACACGUGGUAUCCUGUCUGAAUAUGGGGGGACCAUCCUCCAAGGCUAAAUACUCCUGACUGACCGAUAGUGAACCAGUACCGUGAGGGAAAGGCGAAAAGAACCCCGGCGAGGGGAGUGAAAAAGAACCUGAAACCGUGUACGUACAAGCAGUGGGAGCACCUUCGGGUGUGACUGCGUACCUUUUGUAUAAUGGGUCAGCGACUUAUAUUCUGUAGCAAGGUUAACCGUAUAGGGGAGCCGCAGGGAAACCGAGUCUUAACUGGGCGUUAAGUUGCAGGGUAUAGACCCGAAACCCGGUGAUCUAGCCAUGGGCAGGUUGAAGGUUGGGUAACACUAACUGGAGGACCGAACCGACUAAUGUUGAAAAAUUAGCGGAUGACUUGUGGCUGGGGGUGAAAGGCCAAUCAAACCGGGAGAUAGCUGGUUCUCCCCGAAAGCUAUUUAGGUAGCGCCUCGUGAAUUCAUCUUCGGGGGUAGAGCACUGUUUCGGCUAGGGGGUCAUCCCGACUUACCAACCCGAUGCAAACUACGAAUACCGAAGAAUGUUAUCACGGGAGACACACGGCGGGUGCUAACGUCCGUCGUGAAGAGGGAAACAACCCAGACCGCCAGCUAAGGUCCCAAAGUCAUGGUUAAGUGGGAAACGAUGUGGGAAGGCACAGACAGCCAGGAUGUUGGCUUAGAAGCAGCCAUCAUUUAAAGAAAGCGUAAUAGCUCACUGGUCGAGUCGGCCUGCGCGGAAGAUGUAACGGGGCUAAACCAUGCACCGAAGCUGCGGCAGCGACACUAUGUGUUGUUGGGUAGGGGAGCGUUCUGUAAGCCUGCGAAGGUGUGCUGUGAGGCAUGCUGGAGGUAUCAGAAGUGCGAAUGCUGACAUAAGUAACGAUAAAGCGGGUGAAAAGCCCGCUCGCCGGAAGACCAAGGGUUCCUGUCCAACGUUAAUCGGGGCAGGGUGAGUCGACCCCUAAGGCGAGGCCGAAAGGCGUAGUCGAUGGGAAACAGGUUAAUAUUCCUGUACUUGGUGUUACUGCGAAGGGGGGACGGAGAAGGCUAUGUUAGCCGGGCGACGGUUGUCCCGGUUUAAGCAUGUAGGCUGGUUGUCCAGGCAAAUCCGGAUAAUCAAGGCUGAGGUGUGAUGACGAGGCACUACGGUGCUGAAGUAACAAAUGCCCUGCUUCCAGGAAAAGCCUCUAAGCAUCAGGUAACAUUAAAUCGUACCCCAAACCGACACAGGUGGUCAGGUAGAGAAUACCAAGGCGCUUGAGAGAACUCGGGUGAAGGAACUAGGCAAAAUGGUGCCGUAACUUCGGGAGAAGGCACGCUGGUGUGUAGGUGAAGUCCCUGCGGAUGGAGCUGAGACCAGUCGAAGAUACCAGCUGGCUACAACUGUUUAUUAAAAACACAGCACUGUGCAAACACGAAAGUGGACGUAUACGGUGUGACGCCUGCCCGGUGCCGGAAGGUUAAUUGAUGGGGUUAUCCGUAAGGAGAAGCUCUUGAUCGAAGCCCCGGUAAACGGCGGCCGUAACUAUAACGGUCCUAAGGUAGCGAAAUUCCUUGUCGGGUAAGUUCCGACCUGCACGAAUGGCGUAAUGAUGGCCAGGCUGUCUCCACCCGAGACUCAGUGAAAUUGAACUCGCUGUGAAGAUGCAGUGUACCCGCGGCAAGACGGAAAGACCCCGUGAACCUUUACUAUAGCUUGACACUGAACAUUGAGCCUUGAUGUGUAGGAUAGGUGGGAGGCUUUGAAGCGUGGACGCCAGUCUGCGUGGAGCCAACCUUGAAAUACCACCCUUUAAUGUUUGAUGUUCUAACGUUGGCCCCUUACCGGGGUUGCGGACAGUGUCUGGUGGGUAGUUUGACUGGGGCGGUCUCCUCCCAAAGCGUAACGGAGGAGCACGAAGGUUAGCUAAUCCUGGUCGGACAUCAGGAGGUUAGUGCAAUGGCAUAAGCUAGCUUGACUGCGAGCGUGACGGCGCGAGCAGGUGCGAAAGCAGGUCAUAGUGAUCCGGUGGUUCUGAAUGGAAGGGCCAUCGCUCAACGGAUAAAAGGUACUCCGGGGAUAACAGGCUGAUACCGCCCAAGAGUUCAUAUCGACGGCGGUGUUUGGCACCUCGAUGUCGGCUCAUCACAUCCUGGGGCUGAAGUAGGUCCCAAGGGUAUGGCUGUUCGCCAUUUAAAGUGGUACGCGAGCUGGGUUUAGAACGUCGUGAGACAGUUCGGUCCCUAUCUGCCGUGGGCGCUGGAGAAUUGAGGGGGGCUGCUCCUAGUACGAGAGGACCGGAGUGGACGCAUCACUGGUGUUCGGGUUGUCAUGCCAAUGGCACUGCCCGGUAGCUAAAUGCGGAAGAGAUAAGUGCUGAAAGCAUCUAAGCACGAAACUUGCCCCGAGAUGAGUUCUCCCUGAGACUUUAAGUCUCCUGAAGGAACGUUGAAGACGACGACGUUGAUAGGCCGGGUGUGUAAGCGCAGCGAUGCGUUGAGCUAACCGGUACUAAUGAACCGUGAGGCUUAACCUUACAACGCCGAAG
rnacentral:rRNA from 1 species